rnacentral:rRNA from 1 species
ACGCUCGACACCUACUGGAGGCAGCAGUGGGGAAUAUUGCACAAUGGGGGAAACCCUGAUGCAGCAACGCCGCGUGAGUGAAGAAGUAUUUCGGUAUGUAAAGCUCUAUCAGCAGGGAAGAUAAUGACGGUACCUGACUAAGAAGCUCCGGCUAAAUACGUGCCAGAAGCCGCGGUAAUCUGAGCGGGCUGGCAAGGC